rnacentral:rRNA from 1 species
GAUGAACGCUGGCGGCGUGCCUAAUACAUGCAAGUCGAGCGAACGGACGAGAAGCUUGCUUCUCUGAUGUUAGCGGCGGACGGGUGAGUAACACGUGUAUAACCUACCUAUAAGACUGGGAUAACUUCGGGAAACCGGAGCUAAUACCGGAUAAUAUUUUGAACCGCAUGGUUCAAAAGUGAAAGACGGUCUUGCUGUCACUUCUAGAUGGAUCUGCGCUGCAUUGGCUAGUUGGUAAGGUAACGGCUUACCAAGGCAACGAUGCAUAGCCGACCUGAGAGGGUGAUCGGCCACACUGGAACUGAGACACGGUCCAGACUCCUACGGGAGGCAGCAGUAGGGAAUCGUCCGCAAUGGGCGAAAGCCUGACGGAGCAACGCCGCGUGAGUGAUGAAGGUCUUCGGAUCGUAAAACUCUGUUAUUAGGGAAGAACAUAUGUGUAAGUAACUGUGCACAUCUUGACGGUACCUAAUCAGAAAGCCACGGCUAACUACGUG